rnacentral:rRNA from 1 species
GACAGAGGGUGCAAACGUUGUUCGGAAUUACUGGGCGUAAAGCGUGUGUAGGCGGCCUUAUAAGUCGGAUGUGAAAGCCCAGGGCUCAACCCUGGAAGUGCACUCGAUACUGUAAGGCUCGAGUACUGGAGAGGUUGGUGGAAUUCUCGGUGUAGAGGUGAAAUUCGUAGAUAUCAAGCGGAACACCGGUGGCGAAGGCGGCCUUCUGGACAGUGACUGACGCUGAGACGCGAAAGCGUGGGGAGCAAACAGG